AGAAGGAAGGAAGAAAUAAGAGUUGUGAUAAAAAGGUGGAAAGGAAGAAAACGAAUUCUAUGAAUUACCUCCCCUUUUCCUCCUUUUCUUCCUUCCUCCUCUUACUCCUCCUAGCUUUC